rnacentral:rRNA from 1 species
CCUGCCGGUAGUAUAUGCUUGCAUCGAAGAUUAAGCCAUGCAAGUGUGAAGUAUAAGUCUUUAUAUGACGAAACUGCGAAUGGCUCAUUAAAUCAGUUAUAAUCUACAUGAUUGUACUCUCUACAUGGAUAACCGUGGGAAAGUACGGCUAAUACAUGCAAAAAAGCGGCGGGCGCAAGUUCGUCGUUGUAUAUGUUAGCUUGAAAACCAAUGGCGGUUUCGGCCGUCGACAAAUUGGUGAAUCAUGACAUAUGUCGGAUCGCACGGUCUCGUACUGGCGACGUUUCAUUCGAAUUUCUGACCUAUCAACUUUGGAUUGUAGUAUAGAGGACUACAAUGGUGAUAACGGGUAACGGAGAAUUAGGGUUCGAUUCCGGAGAGGGAGCCUGAGAAAUGGCUGCCACAUCUAUGGAUGGCAGCAGGCGCGCAAAUUACCCAAUCCUUAAAGAGGGAGGUAGUGAAGAUGAAUAACAAACGCCGCGUGUUCAACACGUGGCGUAUUGGAAUGAGUACAAUGUAAAAAAAUUAACGAGUAGCAAGUUGAGGGCAAGUCUGGUGCCAGCAGCCGCGGUAAUUCCAGCUCAACUAGUGUAUGCUAAAGUUGUUGCGUCUAAAUCGCUCGUCGUUGGAUUUUGGGAGCGUUCAAAGCGCGUUUGGCCUGCCGGCAACGGUGUGUGCCGCGUGCGCGCUCUUAUCGAUUGUCUCGAUUUGUGGGCUGGUGCUAUUAACUUGGCGCCAACUAUCGCACGAGACCAUUUCCUGUGAAAAAAUUAGAGUGUUCAAAGCAGGGAAGUUUCACCUGUUGAAUAUCGCAGCAUGGGAUAAUAGAAUAUGACCGGCGCAGCAAUUACACCGGUGUGUUUGUUGGUUUUGAUCGCGUUGGUAAUGAUUAAUAGGAGCGGUUGGGGAUAUUCGUACUCCGUAGUCAGAGGUGAAAUUCUAUGAUUUACGGAAGACGAACUACUGCGAAAGCAUUUAUCAAGGACGCUUUCAUUGAUCAGGAACGAGAGUUAGGGGAUCGAAGAUGAUCAGAUACCGUCGUAGUCCUAACCUUAAA